AUGUCUGGGCUGGCAUCCUGGAAGUAGAAGGACAUCAUGGCCCACAGCCGCACCAAGAACACCAUCGCCCACUUGAGAGCCAGCUCAGCCGUAGAUCCACAACAGAUCCCCAUCACCAUUCCCAGCACCAAUCCAGAUCCUAUUGGCCAGUCCCAGCACCAGACGAGAUGCGAAGGAGGGACCAAACACCAAACCUUCACCCGGAGCAAGCGGACCACAGGGGAGUGCCACAAUUGACCUCCAGGUCUAGGGCUCCCUUGCGUGGCUGCUUGGUCCUCAGGUUGUCUUUCCUCCCCUUUGCAGGCCCAGCACCAGUCCCAGAACCAAUCCAGAUCCCAGUUUCCAGCACCAGUCCCAGCACUAGACCACCUGAUGAGGUUCGGAGGAGAUCCUGACCCAGCUCCCGGUUCCUGUUCUCCCCCAGCACCAGACCCAGCACCAACCCAUGGUUUUCCAGCCCAUGUACCAGCACGAUCUCCAACCUGGCCCCAACACCAACCCAAGUUUCCUGGUACCAGCCCCAACACUAGCACAAACCCCGGACACUGCACCGUCCUACAACUACCACCUUCAUCCAGCAACUUCCAGCUCAGACCCCACCCCACCCCUCCCCUCACACAAAGACACAAACACACCGUCAACCACUCCACCAGACCAACCAUGACUGACUGACUGACAGACUGAUGAUUGUUACAUGGUAUUUGAAUGAAUGCAUUCGUUUUUUGGUAA